AGAGUUUGAUUCUGGCUCAGAACGAACGCUGGCGGCGUGGAUAAGACAUGCAAGUCGAACGAGAGAAUUGCUAGCUUGCUAAUAAUUCUCUAGUGGCGCACGGGUGAGUAACACGUGAGUAACCUGCCCCCAAGAGUGGGAUAGCCCCGGGAAACUGGGAUUAAUACCGCAUAAAAUCGCAAGAUUAAAGCAGCAAUGCGCUUGGGGAUGGGCUCGCGUCCUAUUAGUUAGUUGGUGAGGUAACGGCUCACCAAGGCGAUGACGGGUAGCCGGUCUGAGAGGAUGUCCGGCCACACUGGAACUGAGACACGGUCCAGACACCUACGGGUGGCAGCAGUCGAGAAUCAUUCACAAUGGGGGAAACCCUGAUGGUGCGACGCCGCGUGGGGGAAUGAAGGUCUUCGGAUUGUAAACCCCUGUCAUGUGGGAGCAAAUUAAAAAGAUAGUACCACAAGAGGAAGAGACGGCUAACUCUGUGCCAGCAGCCGCGGUAAUACAGAGGUCUCAAGCGUUGUUCGGAAUCACUGGGCGUAAAGCGUGCGUAGGCGGUUUCGUAAGUCGUGUGUGAAAGGCGGGGGCUCAACCCCCGGACUGCACAUGAUACUGCGAGACUAGAGUAAUGGAGGGGGAACCGGAAUUCUCGGUGUAGCAGUGAAAUACGUAGAUAUCGAGAGGAACACUCGUGGCGAAGGCGGGUUCCUGGACAUUAACUGACGCUGAGGCACGAAGGCCAGGGGAGCGAAAAAGAGUGGAUACCCCUGUAGUCCUGGCGGUUGUCGGUGCGCGCUUGGUGUGCGGGGGAUCGUCCCCCUGCGUGCCGGCGCUGGCGCGUUUUGCGUGCCCGCCUGGGGGGUGCGGUCGCUCGAUUGUUUCUCUUCGAGGUUGGCGGGGGCCCGCGCCCGCGGUGGUGUGUGUGGCUUUUUUCGUUGCGGCGCGGGGGGCCUUCCCUGGGCUUGGCUUGUGUUGUGCUGCAUGUGUGGGCAUGCGGCUCUUCGGUGGCGUUGCUCUGGUGCUGCGUGGCCGUCGUCUGCUCGUGUCGUGGGGUGUUUGGUUGUGUCCUGCCCCGGGCGCGGCCCCUGUUGCCUGUUUCCUGCCCGUGGGGGUGGGGGGUCUGGCGGGGCUGCCCCGCUCUUCUGGGGGGGGGGUGGGGGGGGCGUC
rnacentral:rRNA from 1 species